CGGGGGGUGCCCCUUUCGGGGGAGCCCGGUGACAGGUGCUGCAUGGCUUGUCGUCAGCUCGUGUCGUGAGAUGUUGGGUUAAGUCCCGCAACGAGCGCAACACCUUGCCUUUAGUUGCCAUCAUUUUAGUUGGGCACUCUAGAGGGACUGCCGGUGUCAAACCGGAGGAAGGUGGGGAUGACGUCAAGUCCUCAUGGCCCUUAUGCCCAGGGCUACACACGUGCUACAAUGGUCGGUACAAAGGGCAGCGAACCCGCGAGGGCAAGCAAAUCCCAAAAAGCCGAUCUCAGUUCGGAUCGCAACUCGACUUCGUGAAGGUGGAAUCGCUAGUAAUCCCGGAUCAGCAUGCCGGGGUG
rnacentral:rRNA from 1 species